rnacentral:tRNA from 1 species
UAAGACUUGUGGGAUAUUAACUCACAUCUCUUGAAUGCAACUCAAACACUUUUAUUAAGCUAAAGCCUUU